GACAGAGGGUGCUAGCGUUGUUCGGAAUCACUGGGCUUACAGGGUGCGUAGGCGGCUUAGCAAGUUAGGUGUGAAAGCCCCCGGCUCAACCGGGGAACUGCGCUUGAAACUGCUGAGCUCGAGUCAGCUAGAGGUACACGGAACUUCCAGUGGAGCGGUGAAAUGUGUUGAUAUUGGAAGGAACACCGGAGGCGAAAGCGGUGUACUGGGGCUGGUCUGACGCUGAGGCACGAAAGCCAGGGGAGCGAACGGG
rnacentral:rRNA from 1 species